UACGAAGGGGGCGAGCGUUGUUCGGAAUUACUGGGCGUAAAGGGCGCGUAGGCGGCGACCCAAGUCAGAUGUGAAAGUCCUGGGCUUAACCUGGGGACUGCAUUUGAUACUGGGUUGCUUGAAUUCGGGAGAGGAUAGCGGAAUUCCCAGUGUAGAGGUGAAAUUCGUAGAUAUUCGGAAGAACACCAGUGGCGAAGGCGGCUCACUGGACUGGUAUUGACGCUGAGGUGCGAAAGCGUGGGGAGCAAACAGG
rnacentral:rRNA from 1 species